UUUUUUUUUUCAAAGUUAGAAUUGGAUGUUUAAUCUCUCAAAACAAGAAUGAACUUUACGGCAGUCAAAAGUGGCUUUAGAAACAGAAUUUCUGAGUAGAUCAACUUCAUGUCAUAUGAUCUUUUUUAAUUAUUUCAAUCUUCUGGGUGUUCAGCUUCAGAGGCAAACAUUGGUUCUGGAUGUGAUGGAUGCAGAUGUAGCAAUACAAGGCUUGGAGACAUAACAACUGGCCUAAUGGAGACUCUUUGCUCUCUUUAUUUCAUUUCAGAGUUUGUAAAGCAAGAUCGGAUGGAAGAAACACCAGAACUAUGGCUCCUACGAAGUUGGUCAGGCAAUUUUCAUGCAAUGGCAUUCCUGCCAAGGGUUGGAGGUUAGAUCUUUAUGUAAGACACCACUAAAUAAAUAUAUCAUUUUACAGAUGC